rnacentral:rRNA from 1 species
AUUGAACGCUGGCGGCAUGCUUUACACAUGCAAGUCGAACGGUAACAGGCCGCAAGGUGCUGACGAGUGGCGAACGGGUGAGUAAUGCAUCGGAACGUGCCCAGUCGUGGGGGAUAACGCAGCGAAAGCUGUGCUAAUACCGCAUACGAUCUAUGGAUGAAAGCGGGGGACCGUAAGGCCUCGCGCGAUUGGAGCGGCCGAUGUCAGAUUAGGUAGUUGGGGGGGUAAAGGCUCACCAAGCCAACGAUCUGUAGCUGGUCUGAGAGGACGACCAGCCCAACUGGGACUGAGACACGGCCCAGGCUCCUACGGGAGGCAGCAGUGGGGAAUUUUGGACAAUGGGCGCAAGCCUGAUCCAGCAAUGCCGCGUGCAGGAAGAAGGCCUUCGGGUUGUAAACUGCUUUUGUACGGAACGAAAAGGUUUGGGUUAAUACCCUGGGCCGAUGACGGUACCGUAAGAAUAAGCACCGGCUAACUACGUGCCAGCAGCCGCCGUAA